rnacentral:lncRNA from 1 species
UUUGGAUUGUGAGCUCGGAAAACAAUCCAACUGUAAUCCGCGGGAUUAUAGUGAAUUCCCAAGGGGACGCUUGGGAAGUGGACGUAGGUGCUAAAGAGAGCACCGAACCACUAUAUAUUGUUGUGUUUGUGUUGUGCUUGUGCUUACGUUUAUUCUUGCAUCAUCUUCUAUCUUUGCACUAGUUUAAAUCAUUCAAAUAGUUUAAGG